AAUAGCUCAGUGGAUAGAGCGUGGGACUCUUGUUCCAAAGGUUUCAGGUUCAAAUCCUGG
rnacentral:ncRNA from 12 species